rnacentral:lncRNA from 1 species
CUUUUUUCUUUUUUUUCCAAAUAUAUAUAUUUUUAUGAAUUUUUUAAAGCAUCGUAGAAAUGUUUCCGCCAUAAUGAGUGAAAUGGGAAUGAUCAUUAAGAGAGAGAAAAUAAUGAGGACUUGAACAGAAGCCCCUCGUGGGAUGCCAGGGCUGGCGGGACAGAAUGACGUUAAACAAUGAGGUUAUGAUUCCUUAAAUCACUGAUCGGCUCCAAUCACGAGUGAGGAAGCUUUUCUUUCACAACUGCCUUCCACAACCCUGUAUCUAGUAAGAAAAUACCAGUUUAGUAAAGCCUUUAACCUUAAACUUUAAACUUUCUUACAAACGCUUCACUUCUGGUGCUCAGCCCUGUCCUUUCCCUUCCUUCAGCUCCUGUAUUUCCUCCCACUUAAAACAUGAACUGCCCUUUUUAGAUAUUCCAGAGAGUUCCACUUUUUCCAGUUACAUAUUUAAAUGCUUAAAUACAAACACUUCAAUCUGCAACUCCUUUGUAUCCUAUAACGAUUCAAUCCAUAAGCUAACAUCUAUCUGCAGGUCUGCUAUGGGUGUCAUAAAUAUGCAAAGCCAAAUUUGACAGCUUCAGAGUAUGGCAUUUUAUUGCUGUUUUUUUCUAUUAGAAUCCCAUUUCUUUUAAACCUUGUAAUUCUGGUUUGAAAAGAUCUCUCCAGAAACAGAUACGAUCUCACUGAGGAAUAGCCUGGUGACAACCCAGCUCUGAUUAUUUCCCAAACUCUGAAAUUUGUAAUUAAACACUUUCACCCACAGGAAGAUGCUGAAUUUUCACAGGAAAAUGGGAAAACUAAAAGAAUUUGUGAAUCUUUAUGAAAGGGCAAACAUUAUAGAGACAGCAUUGGGGAAAACCAACUGCAAACAGUAUUGGAUCAUUUGCUAUUUUCUGAAUAGCAAUUGAUUAUUAAACUACACUAUUAGAGGUUAGACAACCAGUGCAAGGCACCUGCACAUACAGCCAGUACUAUAUAUAGGUAAAUCAGAAGUGCAUUUAAUUCCCAAUACUCUGUUUAAUUCCCAAUACUCUGCUCCAUUGCAGUAGCCACUUACUGGUUUGCUGCAAAUGCUCUGACUCAAUUUACAGGAAGAACAUUGCAGGAAUUUUGAUUUCCACAUCAGAUUUCCAGGUCACCAACCAAAGAACUGUGUUUUUUUCUGUCUCUUAGCAACGCCACCUGAAAACUUCGAGCCAAACAGUCCUGCUUUGCCUUCAAAACCAGAAUGAGGUUCUUCAGUCAGAACUUAGCUGAUAUUUGAAGCAAAGCAAAAUCCACCUCCCUUUUCCCCAGCUGUACUCUGCUGACAGGAACAGACAUUUGGUUGCUUCAGUAAAGGAAGAAGACGUGACUCGGAGACACAUAGGGAGCAGAUUUGUUGAGUAAGAAGGUGCUAUUUUUACAAAGUCACUUUACAUUGUGCGAUGUUGAACGUUUACAGGGAGGGAAAGGUGCUGAGGCAGCAUUUUCCAGUUGCGCAGCAUCAUGCCGGGUGAUGCCUGGAUGCAGCACCCAGGGAAUGAGGAGCAGGGUUAUCUGUGGCCAUUGGCUGAGUAACAGCUUCACAUUGAAAAAUACAUUUGAGAGAAAAUAAAACUUGCUCAUGACCAAGUUAGAAAAGGCAGAAUUAUUCCAAUUAAUGCUGCAUUUUUAACUCAGAUUAAAUACUGGAGAUUCACAUCCAGUGUGCUGCCCACCUGCAGGGUCUGUCUGAAAGCCAUGGGACCAACAGAUGUUCAGCAGAGCUGAAAAUCAGAGCUACAAAUCCACACAGGAAUCUAGGAACAAGCAUAUGCCCAAAUACCUUUCUGGAUACAAGCCUUAGUCACUGAUGCUACCAAAAUCAUCAUAUAUAAUGAGCCAAAGGUUUGAAAGUUUCUUGGAUUCAAAACCAGGUAGAAAUGUUGUCAUUUGAUCCAAAAUAGGCCAAUUGGAUUGGUUUGGCUUUAUUUUAGCUGAUUUCAUAGAAGAAUAGUCCUGGCAUCUACUGCAUUUCAGUAGUACCAAUACUUUGAACUACCUGGUCUUUUUUAAACAUCAGUUGUAUAAAACUGAAUCAGCAACACACCAAGAUUCAGAAUUCAGAGCAACCUCUUUGUGCCUCAUCCUCUGCUGAGUUGCUCCCGUCACUGAUCUCAGCGUAAAAGCCAUUGUCUAUCACUGAGUAAAGCAGGGCCUUUUCUUUGGGGUCCCUUUUCCAUCCCCACAAUAAACGUGUUGCAGAUGUUUGCAAGAAUCACAAAAGGCAAAACAGAAAGCGUUGAACUCAGUGGGGAAUAUGAGCAAAGAGCUUAAAGCCUGAUAGUGCUGCGCCUCUUGCUAUUUACGCAUUGAAAAAC